rnacentral:rRNA from 1 species
CAGUCGCCGCGGUAAUACAGAGGCCUCAAGCGUUGUUCGGAUUCAUUGGGCGUAAAGGGUGCGUAGGUGGCUUGGUAAGUUGAAGGUGAAAUCUCGGGGCUUAACCCCGAAACUGCCUUCAAUACUGCUAGGCUCGAGGACUGUAGAGGAGAAUGGAAUUCACGGUGUAGCAGUGAAAUGCGUAGAUAUCGUGAGGAAGACCAGUGGCGAAGGCGAUUCUCUGGGCAGUUCCUGACACUGAGGCACGAAGGCCAGGGGAGCAAACGGGAUUAGAUACCCCAGUAGUCCCUGUCUCUUAUAA